CAGAGGUUACUGCUAUCGAGAUUCGAUSKAWGCYRYSYKAGUUGWAUGYUCUUCGUGAACAUGGCGGACUGCUCAGUAACACGAUGGACAACCUACCCUUUGKKUCCGGCMUAMUCCUGGGAAACUGGGAAUAAUUCCGGAUAGGUCWCCGAUGCUGGAAUGCGCGGUGGYCGAWAGCUCCGGCGCCCGARGAUGGKUCUGCGGCCUAUSWGGGUUGUAGWGGGUGUAACGUACCUACUAGCCUACSAYGGGUACGGGUUGUGARAGCWAGAGCCCGGAGAUGGAUUCUGAGACACGAAUCCAGGCCCUACKGGGUGCAGCAGGCSCRAAAACUUUACAAUGYGKGAAACCGUGAUAAGGGGAUCUCGAGUGCCASCAUAUAAUGUUGGCUGUCCAGAUGCCUAAAAAGCAUCUGUUAGCAAGGGCCGGGCAAGACCGGUGCCAGCCGCCGCGGUAACACCGGCGGCCCGAGUGGUAACCGCUAUUAUUGGGUCUAAAGGGUCUGUAGCCGGCCAGGUAAGUCCCUUGGGAAAUCUGGCAGCUCAACUGUCAGGCUGCUAGGGGAUACUGUUUGGCUUGGGACCGGGAGAGGUGAGAGGUACCUUGGGGGUAGGGGUGAAAUCUUGUGAUCCUCGAGGGACCACCAGUGGCGAAGGCGUCUCACCAGAACKGGUCCGACGGUAAGGGACRAAAGCUAGGGGCACGAACCGGAUUASAUACCCGGGUAGUCCUAGCCGUAAACGAUGCUCGCUAGGUGUCAGUCACGGUGCGACCGUGAUUGGUGCCGUAGGGAAGCCGUGAAGCGAGCCACCUGKGAAGUAUGGCCGCAAGGCUGAAACUUAAAGGAUWUGGCGGGGAKMSCMCUMCAACGGGUGCAGCCUGCGGUUAAUG
rnacentral:rRNA from 1 species